UACGGAGGGUGCAAGCGUUGUUCGGAAUCAUUGGGCGUAAAGCGCGUGUAGGCGGCUUGGCAAGUCGUUUGUGAAAGCCCGGGGCCCAACCCCGGAAUUGCAUCUGAAACUGCCUGGCUAGAGUCCCGGAGAGGAAGGCAGAAUUCCCGGUGUAGGGGUGAAAUCCGUAGAUAUCAGGAGGAAUACCAGCGGCGAAGGCGGCCUUCUGGACGGUGACUGACGCUGAGACGCGAAAGCGUGGGGAGCAAACAGG
rnacentral:rRNA from 1 species